CUAGUUAAUUACAAGUCUUGUAGUUAUGAGAAACCUUGGUUAAAACAUGUUAUAUGCAACAAGGGUGAACUAGAGGGGCCAAAAGGGGAAAGUUAGAAACUAAAUGUUAUUAAAAUUAAAACACUACACACACAUAUGCUUGUAAUCGACCAGAGGAAAGGAAAAAAGGGAGCUAAACCCUAAAUUGUCAAGAAUCAUCAAAUUGAAGCUUGAUUCAAGGCCAAAUCGAUGCAUGAACAUGAAUUAAUGAUCACCCAACCUAGGGGAUCAUAAGUUUGACGCCUAACGAGCUAGGUGGAGGCUUGGGAAAGAAGCGGUCAAACGAAUCAAGCAUGAGAAGAAAGGCGUAUUCGGGAUGCGAGGAAUAAAUAUUGAUUGAAUGCUGACAUCGCUAUUACUUAGCGGCUACUAAGGCAAGGAAUCAAAACGGGUCAAUAUAUUGAU